GAGGGGAUGGCUCAGUGGCAGAGCACGUGCUUAGCACGCACGAGGUCUUGAGUUCAAUCCCCAGUACCUCCU
rnacentral:tRNA from 1 species